UACGAAGGAUGCAAGCGUUAUCCGGAUUUAUUGGGUUUAAAGGGUGCGUAGGCGGUCUUAUAAGUCAGUGCUGAAAUAUCCCGGCUUAACCGGGAGGGUGGCAUUGAUACUGUAGGACUUGAGUAAAGUUGAGGUUGGCGGAAUUGACGGUGUAGCGGUGAAAUGCUUAGAUAUCGUCAAGAACACCUAUUGCGAAGGCAGCUAACUAAGCUUUAACUGACGCUGAGGCACGAAAGUGUGGGGAUCAAACAGG
rnacentral:rRNA from 1 species